AGGUGGCGGACGGGUGAGUAAUGUCUGGGAAACUGCCCGAUGGAGGGGGAUAACUACUGGAAACGGUAGCUAAUACCGCAUAACGUCGCAAGACCAAAGAGGGGGACCUUCGGGCCUCUUGCCAUCGGAUGUGCCCAGAUGGGAUUAGCUAGUAGGUGGGGUAACGGCUCACCUAGGCGACGAUCCCUAGCUGGUCUGAGAGGAUGACCAGCCACACUGGAACUGAGACACGGUCCAG
rnacentral:rRNA from 1 species